rnacentral:lncRNA from 1 species
CACGGGAACUGACACCAAUUGAGUUCUCAACUGUUUUACCUGGUAAACAUUUGCAAGUACACAUAGGACCACUUAUGCUGACCACACCCACUCCAUCAUUUCUACUGAUCACAUGCUCUCCACCAUUGUAAUGACCACACUAUCUCCAUCACUUGUAUUGAACACACUCUCCAUCACUUGUACUGACCACACUCUACAUCCCUUGUACUGACCACACCCUCUCCAUCACUUGUACUGACCAAACCCUCUCCAUCACUUGUAAUGAUCACACUCUCUCCAUCACUUGUAAUGAUCAUACUCUCUCCAUUAAUUUUACUGACCACAUUCUCUUCAUCAAGUGUACUGAUAACACUCACUCAAUCACCUGUACUGAUCACACUCUCUCCAUCACUUGUACUGAACCACAAUCUCUCCGUCACUUGUACUUCCACACUCUCUCCAUAAAUUUUACUGACCACACUAUCUCCAUCACAUGUACUGAUCACACUUUCUCCAUCCCUUUUACUGACCACAAUAUCUGCAUCACUUGUACUUCCACUCUCUCUGCAAAACUUGUACUGACCACACUGUCUCCAUCACUUGUACUGACCACAACCUCACCAUUACUCAUCCUGAUCACACUCUCUCCUUCACUUGUACUGACCACACUCGCUCCAUCACAUGUACUAACAAAAUUCUCUUCAUCACUUGUAUUGAUCACACUCACUCCAUUACUUGUACUGAUCACAGUCUCUUUAUCAUUGGACUGAUCUUACUCUCUCAAUCAAUUGUAGUGAACACAGUCUCUACAUCAUUAUAUUGAUAACACCUUCUCCAUCACUUGUAAUGACCACACUUGCUGCAUCUCUUGCACUGACCACACACUCUCCAUCAGUUUUACUGAUCACACACUCUCCAUCACUUGUACUGACCACACUCACUCCAUCACAUGUACUGACCACAACCUCUCCAUUACUCGUCCUGAUCACACUCUCUCCAUGACCUGUAGUGACCACACACUCUCCAUCACUUGUAAUGAUCAUACUUGCUCCAUCACUUUUAGUGAAGACACUCUCUCCAUCACUUUUAAUAAUCAAACUCAGUCAAUCACUUGUAAUGACCACACUCUUUUCAUCACUUUUAAUGAAGACACUCUCUCUAUCACUUUAACUGAUGAAACUCACUUAAUAAUUUGUAAUGAUCAAAUGUUCUCCAUCACUUGUACUGACCACACACUCUCGAUCACUUGUAAUAAUCACACUGUCUAUAUUACUUGUACUGACCACACUCUCUCCAUCACUUGUAUGAUGACACUCUCUCCAUCUCUUGUACUUACCACACUCUCUCACACACUUCUACUUAUCACACUCACAAUAUCACUUGUACUGACCACACUCUCACCAUCUCUCUUACUGAUCACACUCUUUACAUCACUUUUAAUGACCACAUCUCUCCAUCACUUCUACUGACCACACUCUCUCCAUCACUUGAACUGACGACAAACUCUCCAACACAUACUGAUCACACUCUCUCCAUCAAUUUUACUGACAACACACUCUAUGUCACUUGUACAGAUGACACUCUCUCAAUCCCUUUUCCUAAAAUCACUCCCUCCAUCAUUUGUACAUUCAAACUCUCUCCAUCACUUGUACUGACCACACUCUCUCCAUCACUUGUAAUGAUCACACUCUCUCCACCACUUGUACUGACAACACUUGCUCCAUCACUUGUACUGAAACCACUAUCUGCAUCACUAGUACUGACCGCACUCUCUCCAUCCUUGUAUUGACGACACUCUCUCAAUGACUUGUACUGACCAGAACUCUCUUCAUCAUUUGUACUGAAUCCACUCAAUCCAUCACUUGUACUGAUCACAUUCUCUCCAUCACCUGUACUGACCACACUUUCUUCAUCACUUGUACUGACCACAAGUUUCCAUCACUUGUACUGAUCACACUCUCUCCAUCACUUGUACUGAUCACAGUCUCUCCAUCAUUGUACUGAUAAUACUCUCUCCUUCACUUGUAGUGACCACACUCUCUGCAUCACUUAUACUGACCACACCAUCUCCAUCUCAUGUACUGACCACACCCUCUUCAUCACUUGUAACAACACACCCUGUGCAUCACUUGUACUGACCACACUCUCAACUUAAUGUGUACUGACCACACACUCUCCAUCACUUGUACUGAUCACACUCUCUCCAUCAUUUUACUCAUAACUGUCUCUCCAUCACUUGUCCUGAUCAAACUCUCUCCUUCAUUGUAAUGAUAACACUCUCUCCAUCAACUGUGCUAACCACAUGCACUGCAUCACUUGUACUGACCACACUCUCUACAUCACUUGUAUUGACAACACUCCCUCUAUCACUUUUACUGACCACACACUCUCAAUCACUUGUACUGAUCACACUCUCGACACCAUUGUACUGAUAACACUCACUACAUCACUUGUACUAACCACAGACUCUCCAUCACAAGUUCUAACCACACAGUUUCCAUCACUUGUACUAACAACACUCUCUCGAUCCCUUGUACUGAUCAGUCUCUCCAUCACUUGUACUGUCCACACUCUCUCCAUAACUUGUACUUACCACUCUCUCUCCAUCACUUAUUCUGACCACACUCGCUCCAUCGCUUGUACUGAUCACACACUCUGCAUCACUUGUACUGACAACACUCUCUCAAUCAUUUGUACUAAUCACACUUUCUCCAUCAGUUGUACUGACCACAUCUCUCCAGUACUUGUACUGAUCAAACUCCCUCCAUUAAUUUUACAGACCACAAUCUCUCCAUAACUUGUAUUGACCACACUCUCUCCAUCACUUUUACUGACCAUAUUCUCUCCAUUACUUGUACAGACCACACUAUCUCCAUCAGUUGUACUGACAAGUCUCUCUCCAUCACAUGUAGUGACAAUACACUCCCCAUCACUUGUACUGUCCACACCAUCUCCCUCAUUGUACUGAACUCACCCUCUACAUGACUUGUACUGAGCACACUCUCCAUCACUUGUACUGACCACAUCUCUCCAAUACUUGUACUGAUCACACUCUAUUGAUUAAUUGUAUGGACCACAAUCUCUACAUAACUUGUAUUGAUCACACUCUCUCUAUCACUUGUACAGACCUUAUUCUCUCCAUCACUUGUACGGACCACACUCUCUCCAUAAAUUGUACUGACAAGACUCUCUUUAUCACAUGUAGUGAAAACACUUUCCCCAUCACUUGUACUGACCAUACCCUCUCCCUCACUUGUACUGACCAUACCCUCUCCAUCAAUUGUACUGAGCACACUUUCUCCAUCAUUUGUACUGACCACACUCUAUUGCUCACUUGACUGACAACACGCUCUACAUCACUUGUAC